UACGAAGGGGGCUAGCGUUGCUCGGAAUUACUGGGCGUAAAGCGCACGUAGGCGGAUUGUUAAGUCGGGGGUGAAAUCCUGGAGCUCAACUCCAGAACUGCCUUCGAAACUGGCGAUCUUGAGUCCGGGAGAGGUGAGUGGAACUGCGAGUGUAGGAGGUGAAAUUCGUAGAUAUUCGCAAGAACACCAGUGGCGAAGGCGGCUCACUGGCCCGAUACUGACGCUGAGGCACGAAAGCGUGGG
rnacentral:rRNA from 1 species